rnacentral:rRNA from 1 species
GACGAACGCUGGCGGCGUGCUUAACACAUGCAAGUCGAACGGUCCUUCGGGAUAGUGGCGGACGGGUGAGUAACACGUGGGAACGUGCCCUUAGGUUCGGAACAACACAGGGAAACUUGUGCUAAUACCGGAUGUGCCCUUCGGGGGAAAGAUUUAUCGCCUUUGGAGCGGCCCGCGUCUGAUUAGCUAGUUGGUGAGGUAAAGGCUCACCAAGGCGACGAUCAGUAGCUGGCCUGAGAGGAUGGCCAGCCACAUUGGGACUGAGACACGGCCCAAACUCCUACGGGAGGCAGCAGUGGGGAAUCUUGCGCAAUGGGCGAAAGCCUGACGCAGCCAUGCCGCGUGGAUGAUGAAGGUCUUAGGAUUGUAAAAUCCUUUCAGCGGGGACGAUAAUGACGGUACCCGCAGAAGAAGCCCCGGCUAACUUCGUGCCAGCCGCCGCCGUAA